rnacentral:rRNA from 1 species
GAUUCUGGCUCAGGAUGAACGCUAGCUACAGGCUUAACACAUGCAAGUCGAGGGGCAGCAUAACGAAAGCUUGCUUUGUGAUGGCGACCGGCGCACGGGUGAGUAACGCGUAUCCAACCUUCCCUAUACUAGAGAAUAGCCCGGCGAAAGUCGGAUUAAUGCUCUAUGUUCUUCUUUGAUGGCAUCUGACGAGAAGCAAAGGUUUACCGGUAUAGGAUGGGGAUGCGUCUGAUUAGGUUGUUGGCGGGGUAACGGCCCACCAAGCCUACGAUCAGUAGGGGUUCUGAGAGGAAGGUCCCCCACAUUGGUACUGAGACACGGACCAAACUCCUACGGGAGGCAGCAGUGAGGAAUAUUGGUCAAUGGGCGAGAGCCUGAACCAGCCAAGUAGCGUGCAAGGAUGACUGCCCUAUGGGUUGUAAACUGCUUUUAUGCGGGAAUAAAGUCAGGUACGUGUACCUGUUUGUAUGUACCGCAUGAAUAAGGACCGGCUAAUUCCGUGCCAGCCGCGGC